CACAGCCAGUUUCUACAAAUAACGAUCACUGAAGCACAACUCAAUUCUGUUCACCUGAAAACAACAAGAUGCCAUUUGUGAGAAGGAUGGAGUGCCCAGAAGAGCCCCUCCUGUGGCUGAAAGCCAGAUUGAGUAAUAAAUGUAUGAGGAAGAGC
rnacentral:lncRNA from 1 species